CAGGUAAUGAAGCUGACACACACACACACAGGUAAGGAAGCUGUCAGUGGUGUCAGGGAGUAGAGGCUUAUGACGUAACUAUCCAACUGUAUAUUCUUACACAGCAUGGCAGUAGUGUGCAGAGGACACACACACACGGGCACACAGACACACACACACACAUACAGGUAGAGAGAGAACGAGAACAGAGAGAGAGAACAGAGAGGGAGAACAGAGAGACAGAGGGGAAGAACAGAGAGAGAGAGAACAGAGAGACAGAGAGGGAGAACAGAGAGAACGAGAACAGAGAGAGAGAGAGAGAACAGAGAGACAGAGGGAGAGAACAGAGAGACAGAGAGAGAACAGAGAGACAGAGGGAGAGAACAGAGAGACAGAGGGAGAGAACAGAGAGAGAGAGGGAGAGAACAGAGAGAGAGAGAACAGAGAGACAGAGAGAGAGAGAACAGAGAGAGAGAGGGAGAGAACAGAGAGACAGAGAGAGAGAGAACAGAGAGACAGAGAGAGAGAACAGAGAGAGAGAGGGAGAGAACAGAGAGAGAGAGAACAGAGAGGGAGAACAGAGAGAGAGGGGGAGAACAGAGAGAGAGAGAACAGAGAGACAGAGGGAGAGAACAGAGAGACAGAGAGAGAGAAUAGAGAGAGAGAGAACAGAGAGACAGAGGGAGAGAACAGAGAGACAGAGGGGGAGAACAGAGAGACAGAGGGAGAACAGAGAGACAGAGAGAGAACAGAGAGAGAGAGAGAGAGAACAGAGAGACAGAGGGAGAACAGAGAGACAGAGGGAGAACAGAGAGACAGAGAGAGAGAGAGAGAGAGAGAGAACAGAGAGACAGAGGGAGAACAGAGAGACAGAGGGAGAACAGAGAGAGAACAGAGAGAGAGAGAGAACAGAGAGAGAGAGAGAACAGAGACACAGAGAGGGAGAACAGAGAGACAGAGAGGGAGAACAGAGAGACAGAGAGGGAGAACAGAGAGACAGAGAGAGAGAACAGAGAGACAGAACAGAGAGACAGAGGGAGAACAGAGAGACAGAGAGGGAGAACAGAGAGACAGAGAGGGAGAACAGAGAGACAGAGGAGAGACAGAGAGGGAGAACAGAGAGACAGAGAGAGAACAGAGAGACAGAGAGGGAGAACAGAGAGAGAGAGAGAACAGAGAGAGAGAGAACAAAGAGAGAGAGAGAGAGAGAGAGAGAGAGAACAGAGAGAGAGAGAGAGAGAACAGAGAGACAGAGAGAGAACAGAGAGACAGAGAGGGAGAACAGAGAGAGAGAAGAACAGAGAGAGAGAGAGAGAGAGAACCGAGAGAGAGAGAGAGAGAACCAAGAGAGAGAGAGAGAGAACCGAGAGAGAGAGAACCGAGAGAGAGAGAGAGAGAGAACCGAGAGAGAGAGAGAGAGAGAGAGAACCGAGAGAGAGAGAGAGAGGGAGAACAGAGAGACAGAGAGAGAACCGAGAGAGAGAGAGAACCGAGAGAGAGAGAGAGAACCGAGAGAGAGAGAGAGAGAGAGAGAAACGAGAGAGAGAGAGAGAGAGAGAGAGAGAGAGAGAGAGAGAGAACCGAGAGAGAGAGAGAGAGAGAGAGAGAGAGAGAGAGAGAGAACAGAGAGAGUGAAGAGAACCGAGAGAGAGAGAGAACUGAGAGAGAGAGAGAGAACCGAGAGAGAGAGAACCGAGAGAGAGGGAGAACAGAGAGAGAGAGAGGGAGAACAGAGAGAGAACAGAGAGAGAGAGAACAGAGAGGGGGGUGGCGGAACACUGUUUCUAUGUAGUAAAACAGUAGGUUGUCUUGUUCCAUGAAUACUGUUCCUGCUGUGCUUGUGUGGUUCUGUCUCAGACCGGGGCCUUUACCCAGCUCUCCACAACAAACUGGAAGAAGAAAUGGCUUGUCAGGAAGUAGAGACAAUCAAUAUGUCGUCAGUCCAGUGUGGAUUUACUGGAAGAUAAUAUUAUGUCUUGCCAUGUUUCCAACCCCCUAGAGCCAGUUGAAAUGUCUGAUCUGUAAUCUUGAAAUACAUUCUUAUAGACACGCGAGUGCUCCUGUCUUCCUAAGGGACUCCUUUAAUCCACAUUAAGGUCCCCACGGGCCCUGGUCAAACGUAGUACACUACAUAGGGCAAAGGGUGCAAUUUGGGACGCACAUUUAGACUCCUCUGGCGUCCCUCUGGGUUGUCCAGUGGUAUUGGCUCCACUCUAAUAGGCUGUUUCUGUUGGUGUCUUAACCUUCAGCUGACUGAGCUGAGGAAGAGACCAGUCCACAGUCAUGCCUGGCUGUCAGUUCUACCCUGCUCAGUCACCCUCUACCCUGCUGACACUGUUAAACCUAUCAGUCCUCUACAGAUCAAUGGGUUUACAGCCCCAGGAACUGUGGCUCAACUCCAGCACUGACGGGGCAAUGAGACCCGCUGAGUGAGGAGGAAACUGCAAUGGAUACAGUUAUAGUGUAGUCAUUGUGAAAUGGCUAGCUAGUUGUGGUCGAGGGUCCCUGUUGUGAAAUGGCUAGCUAGUUGUGGUCGAGGGUCCCUGGUUGUGAAAUGGCUAGCUAGUUGUGGUCGAGGGUCCCUGGUUGUGAAAUGGCUAGCUAGUUGUGGUCGAGGGUCCC
ensembl:lncRNA